GGGCACAUGGUGCAGUGGUUUGAGCAUUAGACUAUGACUCUAGAGAUCAGGGUUCAAUUCCCCAGUUGAGCGUA